rnacentral:ncRNA from 1 species
AAAACGGCCCUUUUCAGGGCCACUAAUUUGUUUUAUAUAUAUUAAU